rnacentral:antisense_RNA from 1 species
UGGCGCUUGAGGCUUUUUGCCUCAUGAUGUUCAGGUGGUUUGUUCCGUGUUGUGAGGCAGAAAGAAGAAAGCCCCGAGUAAUUUUUCAAUUAACCCGAGGCUCAUCUGUAUGCCUAGACAACAUCAGAUUAGCCGCUUACCUGCCGGAAGGCAAGGAGAAGUAAGCUAUG